AGCAGCCGCGGUAAUUCCAGCUCCAAUAGCGUAUAUUAAAGUUGCUGCAGUUAAAAAGCUCGUAGUUGAAUUUCGGGACCAUCAUGUCGGUCGUGCCUCGGUACGUACUGGCAUUGUUGGUUUCUUCCUUCUGACGAACCAUGAUGUCAUUUAUUUGGUGUUGUGGGGAAUCAGGACUGUUACUUUGAAAAAUUAGAGUGUUUAAAGCAGGCUCACGCUUGAAUACAUUAGCAUGGAAUAAUGAAAUAGGACGUUCGAUCCUAUUUUGUUGGUUUCUAGGAUUGACGUAAUGAUUAAUAGGGAUAGUUGGGGCAUUAGUAUUCAAUUGUCAGAGGUGAAAUUCUUGGAUUUAUUGAAGACUAACUACUGCGAAAGCAUUUGCCAAGGAUGUUUUCAUUAAUCAAGAACGAAAGUUAGGGGAUCGAAGACGAUCAGAUACCGUCGUAGUCU
rnacentral:rRNA from 1 species